UGCGUUCCUGGGAUCGAUCGAACAGAAGAACAGGGUGAAAACCCUUGCCAUUGCUAAUCUACUCAAUUGAUCAAGAAAUUCAAGUCUAGUCAGUUGCAUGUCUCAAGUUUAUCGAUUAUCUAUGCAUACAUAGUGAAAGGGCGUGAAGGAAGAAGGUACAAGCAUUAGGAAAACGGAAGGCACGCAAGACCGAGGUAAAACUCCACUUUAGGCGAUUUGGAGAUAUGGAGCGAGCACGUGUCCAUGCCUUAUUAUACCAAGCGCUUCCGCUAGUUAUAUGCACACUUUUGGGUCCAUGUCUUGUUAUUUUGUUUAAUCUUGUUAGAAGUCAUAUACUUAAAAACUUGUUGUCUUCGUUUUGGGAAGUUUAAAGUUAAAAUGGGCCGUAGAUUGUCGUUAGUUUAUUAUGUUAAAAACAGGGGGGCAUGUUCGUUUUACGAACGGGUCAUGCCCAAUUUUCGUAAGAAUUUCGUUAUGUAUCAAAUUUGGUAUUUUGAUGUCUUUAAA